AGAAACCUGAGAUGUGCGACAAAUCCGUUAUUUUGAACCUACAAAACUUUAAACGGUAGUUUUUUAUCUCUAUAAUAUGUCAGGCCUCAGUAAUUGUCGGAGUGUGACCGGAGGAAGGCAGAAAAUUAGGUGCGAACAUCCACCUGGCUAUGGCUAGGAGUCAAAAUACGGACCCGGCAUUUUCGGGGAUUAC
rnacentral:other from 1 species